rnacentral:rRNA from 1 species
GACGUAGGGUGCGAGCGUUGUCCGGAUUUAUUGGGCGUAAAGAGCUCGUAGGCGGCUCGUCGCGUCGACCGUGAAAACCCGCGGCUUAACCGCGGGCUUGCGGUUGAUACGGGCGGGCUAGAGUUCGGUAGGGGAGACUGGAAUUCCUGGUGUAGCGGUGAAAUGCGCAGAUAUCAGGAGGAACACCGGUGGCGAAGGCGGGUCUCUGGGCCACUACUGACGCUGAGAAGCGAAAGCAUGGGGAGCGAACAGG